UGACAACCAGGAGGUUGGCUUAGAAGCAGCCAUCCUUGAAAGAGUGCGUAAUAGCUCACUGGUCAAGUGGUUCUGCGCCGACAAUGUAGCGGGGCUCAAGCGUACCGCCGAAGCUGUGGCAGCAACACGUAUGGCUGGCGCCUUUUAUUGGUUGUUGGUGUGUUGUUGGGUAGGGGAGCGUCCUGCAUGAGGUGAAGCCUGGAGGUGACUUCUGGUGGAUUGUGUGGGAGUGAGAAUGCAGGCAUGAGUAACGAAUCUGCGGUGAGAAUCCGCAGCGCCGAUUGACUAAGGGUUCCAGGGCUAGGUUUAUCCGCCCUGGGUUAGUCGGGUCCUAAGGCGAGGCCGACAGGCGUAGUCGAUGGACAACCAGUUGAUAUUCUGGUACCGCGUUAUGACCGCCCAUGCUGAAGUCAUUGUGCUAACCAAUUUGCUCACACCACCUUCGAGCCUUCGGGUUUGUUGGUGUGUGUGGGUCUUGGGGCCCCGGUGAUUGUAGGCAAGCGUGUUAACAGGGGUGACGCAGACAGGUAGCUGCAGUGCGCCGAUGGUUGUGCGUAUUUAAGGUUGUGGCCCGCCCUUUAGGUAAAUCCGGGGGGCACUAGGGUGAGGACUGAUGAGGGACACACGUGUGUGUGGACUUGUGGUGAUCCUAUGCUGCCGAGAAAAGCCUCGACGUGAGGGCAUGACGCGCCCGUACCCUAAACCGACUCAGGUGGUCAGGUAGAGUAUACCGAGGCGUUCGAGUGAAUCGUGGUUAAGGAACUCGGCAAAAUUCCUCCGUAACUUCGGGAUAAGGAGGACCCCGUGACUUCCCAAUGCUUUGCGUGUUGGUGGGGUUGUGGGGUCGCAGAGAAUAGGGAGAAGCGACUGUUUAUCAAAAACACAGGUGCGUGCGAAGCCGUAAGGCGAUGUAUACGCACUGACGCCUGCCCGGUGCUGGAAGGUUAAGAGGAACUGUUAACAUUCUUUGUGGGUGUGAAGCGGUGAAUUUAAGCCCCAGUAAACGGCGGUGGUAACUAUAACCAUCCUAAGGUAGCGAAAUUCCUUGUCGGGUAAGUUCCGACCUGCACGAAUGGCGUAACGACUUCUCCGCUGUCUCAACCGCGAACUCGGUGAAAUUGCAGUACGAGUAAAGAUGCUCGUUUCGCGCAGAAGGACGGAAAGACCCCGGGACCUUUACUAUAGCUUGGUAUUGGUGUUCGCUUGGACUUGUGUAGGAUAGGUGGGAGACUGUGAAGCUGCCGCGCCAGCGGUGGUGGAGUCGUCGUUGAAAUACCAUUCUGGUUCAAGCGGUCACCUCAACCUUGGCCCGUGAUCCGGGUUGGGGACAGUGCCUGGUGGGUAGUUUAACUGGGGCGGUUGCCUCCUAAAAUGUAACGGAGGCGCUCAAAGGUUCCCUCAGCCUGGUUGGUAAUCAGGUGGCGAGUGCAAGUGUACAAGGGAGCUUGACUGUGAGACCGACGGGUCGAGCAGGUGCGAAAGCAGGAACUAGUGAUCCGGCCAUGGCACGUGGGUGCGUGGUCGCUCAACGGAUAAAAGGUACCCCGGGGAUAACAGGCUGAUCUUGCCCAAGAGUCCAUAUCGACGGCAUGGUUUGGCA
rnacentral:rRNA from 1 species